rnacentral:rRNA from 1 species
UGUAGUCAUAUGCUUGUCUCAAAGAUUAAGCCAUGCAUGUCUAAGUAUAAACAACUUUAUACUGUAAAACUGCGAACGGCUCAUUAUAUCAGCAAUAAUUUAUUUGAUGAUUUCUUACUACAUGGAUAACUGUAGUAAUUCUAGAGCUAAUACAUGCGCAAAGUCCUAACUCGCGAGGGGAGGGAUGUAUUUAUUAGAUACAAAACCAAUGCGGGUUCUGCUCGCCAUUGUGUUGAAUCAUAGUAACUUAUCGAACGCCAUAGCCUUGUGCUGGGCGUAGAUCAUUCAAAUUUCUGCCCUAUCAGCUUUCGACGGUAGUGUAGUGGACUACCGUGGCGUUAACGGGUAACGGGGA